CCUUGUACACACCGCCCGUCACACCAUGGGAGUUGGUUCGACCUGAAGCCGGUGCGCGAACCCGCAAGGGACGUAGCCGACCACGGUCGGGUCAGCGACUGGGGUG
rnacentral:rRNA from 1 species